rnacentral:rRNA from 1 species
GUCUCUAUCCAGUACAACCGUUCGAAAUUUGAGAGGAGCCGUCCCUAGUACGAGAGGACUGGGAUGGGGGAAUCCCUGGUGUGCCGGUUGUGGUCUAACAAGACUGCACUGCCGGAUAGCUAGAUUCCCACGUGAUAACCGCUGAAAGCAUCUAAGUGGGAAGCACACCUCAAGAUAAGAUUUCUUAGACCCCUUGUAGAUCACGAGGUUGAUAGGCGGGCGGUAGAAGUACAGCAAUGUAUUAAGCCUACCCGUACUAAUGGUCAUCAGAGUAGAUUAU